AGUGAACGCUGGCGGUAGGCCUAACACAUGCAAGUCGAACGGCAGCACAGUAAGAGCUUGCUCUUACGGGUGGCGAGUGGCGGACGGGUGAGGAAUACAUCGGAAUCUACUUUUUCGUGGGGGAUAACGUAGGGAAACUUACGCUAAUACCGCAUACGACCUACGGGUGAAAGCAGGGGAUCUUCGGACCUUGCGCGAUUGAAUGAGCCGAUGUCGGAUUAGCUAGUUGGCGGGGUAAAGGCCCACCAAGGCGACGAUCCGUAGCUGGUCUGAGAGGAUGACCACCCACACUGGAACUGAGACGAGCUCCACUCUCUUACGGGAGGAAGCGGUGGGGAUUUUUGGACAAUGGGGAGGGGCCUAAUCCAGCCGGCCCGCUCGGAGAAAAAGGACUGUCGAUUUCAAAAGCCUUUUUGUUGGUAAAGAAAAGCUGCAAUUUAAUCCCAACAGGUUUAGCCGGACCCUAAAAAAUAACCACCGGCUAACUCGGUG
rnacentral:rRNA from 1 species